UCGAGGAGAGAGAGGGGUUGAGUAAUGUUUGUGUUUGUUGGCGGUUGAAUUGGGGUGGUUGUGGGCGGUGGAUUUGCAGAAGGUGGUGCUCCGUUUGUAUACAUCUACCGGUACUCUGAGAAAUUGUCCCGGUCGGACGGCGGACAGAUGAAGCGGAGGUGGUGGCUGAGUUGGGCGGCGCGGGGGAAGUGACGAGGCGGGCGGCGAAGCGGAGGUGGUGG
rnacentral:lncRNA from 1 species